AUUGAACGCUGGCGGCAGGCUUAACACAUGCAAGUCGAGCGGGGUGAUGGUGCUUGCACUAUCACUUAGCGGCGGACGGGUGAGUAAUGCUUAGGAAUCUGCCUAUUAGUGGGGGACAACAUCUCGAAAGGGAUGCUAAUACCGCAUACGUCCUACGGGAGAAAGCAGGGGAUCACUUGUGACCUUGCGCUAAAAGAUGAGCCUAAGUCAGAUUAGCUAGUUGGUGGGGUAAAGGCCUACCAAGGCGACGAUCUGUAGCGGGUCUGAGAGGAUGAUCCGCCACACUGGGACUGAGACACGGCCCAGACUCCUACGGGAGGCAGCAGUGGGGAAUAUUGGACAAUGGGGGGAACCCUGAUCCAGCCAUGCCGCGUGUGUGAAGAAGGCCUUAUGGUUGUAAAGCACUUUAAGCGAGGAGGAGGCUCUUUUGGUUAAUACCCAAGAUGAGUGGACGUUACUCGCAGAAUAAGCACCGGCUAACUCUGUGCCAGCCGCCGCGGUAA
rnacentral:rRNA from 1 species